rnacentral:rRNA from 1 species
UACAGAGGGGGCAAGCGUUAUUCGGAAUUACUGGGCGUAAAGCGCACGUAGGCGGCUUUGUAAGUUAGAGGUGAAAGCCUGGAGCUCAACUCCAGAAUUGCCUUUAAGACUGCAUCGCUUGAAUCCAGGAGAGGUGAGUGGAAUUCCGAGUGUAGAGGUGAAAUUCGUAGAUAUUCGGAAGAACACCAGUGGCGAAGGCGGCUCACUGGACUGGUAUUGACGCUGAGGUGCGAAAGCGUGGGGAGCAAACAGG